GAUGAUCAUCUCAAGGACGUACAUAAGUUGUGGCAUCUAAAAUAUCUGAGC
rnacentral:rRNA from 1 species